GACGAACCGUGCGAACGUUGUUCGGAUUCACUGGGCUUAAAGGGCGCGUAGGCGGGCUGCCAAGUCCGGGGUGAAAGCCCCCAGCUUAACUGGGGAAGGGCCUCGGAUACUGGUUGCCUUGAGGAGGGUAGGGGCGUCUGGAACGGUCGGUGGAGCGGUGAAAUGCGUUGAUAUCGACCGGAACUCCGGUGGCGAAGGCGAGGCGCUGGACCCUUUCUGACGCUGAGGCGCGAAAGCCAGGGGAGCAAACGGG
rnacentral:rRNA from 1 species